rnacentral:lncRNA from 1 species
CUUGUUUUUUUUUUUUUUGUUUUGUUUUUUUUUUCUUUCUUCUCACCUGUCCAGAGAACGACCAGAAAAUUCCUGGCUCUGAGCCACUGGGGAAAGGUAAAGAUCCAUAUUCUCCUCUCCAAGGGUGCACGGCGAUGACGCAGGCAGGUAAACAGCUGUCCAGAGGUGCAGGGCCCGGACGUGACACACGGGAUGUAGGACCUGAGGAAGCAGCCGAAUGUUAUUGUUUUAGGGGAGCCCUUGGUUCAUUUUCUUUCCUUGAACAAUUGGCUAGAGUUCUUCUCACUGACUCCGCCUCCUCUCCCUGUAGGAUUUCCAGCAGGGGAAGGGCGCAGCCUUACCAUGUCUGACCCAGGGGUUGUUGGCCAGGAAUGUGCCGUAGAGGCAGGAGUACGUGUGCUG